GGAAAAACGUGAAUAUUUUUUUUUCUCGAUAAUACAAAAUUAAAACUGAAAGAAAUAGAGCUUGACAACAGAAGAUAACAAAACUAAUAUACAAUAAUAGUUACAGCCCCCGCUGUAAGUAGUAAACCACGUCACGAGUAACCCUCCAGUGACGGACAGCAAAAUAGAGUAACGCCCGAAGGCAAAAGGCACAAUCCAAAAGAAAAGGUUAAGUGUCUGCAACACAAACCCUCAAAAUGAGAAUAAGUCAUCCCAGAUGGCCUAAAACAAGACCCCCUAGUCCAACCAACUCUCUGUGAUUUCCGUAAAGAGAACCACAAGAAAAGCUAAAGGUCGGGGACCUACCCUGCCCAAAACGAAAGACUGAACAUCAGAGCCAAGACGCUUCUCCUACACUAAUCCCAACUAUGCAUCCCCAAGAUCGUCGUCUGAAUCUGAAUCCAAGACGACCAUGUCGAUGACUGCAUCGGUCUCCACAGCUGGUCGCGCGGGUUCUGCACCCGAUCCCAAGUCUAUAGCAGCCGCGACAGUGGGUGAACUAGUGCCUGAAGAAGUCCCUCCCACAGGCACCUCCUCCGAGGGGUACUCGUCGUCCGAAGGCGACGGUGGUGGUGGCACUCCCAGUCCAGGUCUGCAGUGUACACCCGGUGGCAAGUUGAAGCUGAUAGUGUAGUGCCUCCAGACUCCGUGCGUCAGGCUUGGCAUCCGGUCAAUGCGAUCCUCCAUUAUUCGCCCUGAAUAGAUAGCUCGGUGGCCGGCGGGGUCGACCACCCAUGAGCUUGGGGUGUCUUGGUCCAACAUCUCAAACCUGGUCCCCCCCGAAGGGACGACCGUCUCGUACCAGUCCGCCAUACUCAACUGACAAUGGCGUAGUCCGCCCAAACACACACAGAAGACGCGAGGGUCAACUCCAAAGAAUUAUAUAAAUAAUAAAACCAGAUAUAUAGGGUAAUAAUUAUUUAGCCUCUCAGGCUUAUACGUUUAGGGAUAACAUCCUAGGGUUGCAUAUAUCACAAUGAAUAUAAAGAUCAUAAUAACAAUUAGCAUGCCUCAAGUAGGAUAAACAGGUACCAAUCACACUCAGCAACUAAGUCAGCAUGUAUGUUGCAUGAAAUGCAAUGCUGGGUAACAAAAUGCAUUCCGGAAGAAGGAUGGACACCAUCGAGUCAGCCCUAACACCGGCCAAAGUGGGACCAUUCCGCUCGGGCGCCUCUUACACCACACAAAAGUAGUCAGAUCAGCAGUGAACCCGUAGGUCUGCCAUUCCGUCUGCUACUAAGGACCACCGUAGUGUCCUAAAUAUGGAAAUCCGGGUCUUAUGACCAUUUUGGAAUCCACCGAGGUCCGGUAAUCCGCCGUGUAUUAACCUCAAAAUGAGUGCAUGAAUGCAAGUGAUUAGCCAAACAACGUCUCCGACCUCACUCGACACGUCGUCACGUGUUCUAGCUAACUUAUUGUCUCUAAAAAGCCUACCCUAAGGCAAACGUCGAUUCUGCGACAAAAUGAAUUAAUCAAAAGAAGAAGAAUGUACUUUGGAACUCAUGGUUCCCGGCUAAACUUUAGAUAGCCAAUCAAUAAACUGCUCAUCGAGCGAAAAGGUACCGAAGUACUUGGAAACUUAUAGUCUCCGGCUAAACUUUAGAUAGCCAAACAUUAAACUGCUCAUCGAGCGAAAGAGUAUAAGCAUAAUCGGAAACUUGUAAGUUUCCUCAAGACUUGGACUCGACGACACUUCUCAUUUUUCAAAACUAAUAUUCGAGCCCUAAACUUUCGUCUGAGUCUUUUAUCAUUAUAUUAAGGGUUUUGAGGUUGUUUAAUACAUUAUGGAGGUUCAUUAUGAAAUUGUUUAAGUUUCGUCUCUAAUCCUAUUAGUUUCAAAGAUCCCAUAAUUCCAAUGAUUCCCUGGAGAUGGUCUCAAAGCAAAAGGUCCAUCAUCACCCAAGUAAUGGCCCGAGAAGUUCCCAGGUAAGCUGGCCGGGCACAAUGCCUCAUUAAAAGCCCUUCUUGCCUUAGACAGAACAACCCAAGUUCUUACAUGAAUUCAAAUGGGGUUUUUCCAAUAUCAUUUUCAAACUCAUUUUCCUUAGAGAAGGUCUUGAUCCAUAAAACAAUAAUAGGGUACGAACCUCGGUCCGUCCCAUCAAACUUUCCCAAAAUCCCAAAGUAAAAUCGGCAUGACGUGCCCGUUAUCCUCACUCUAAAGCAUAACAGAUAUAAGUGGAGUAACAUAAAUAAAUCAGCUCAAUCAAUAAACAUAAACAGCAUAUUCCAACACAUCCUAGAUUAACCAAUUAGCACAUAACAUGUGAAUCAUUUAGCACACCAUAUCAUGGCAUCAAGUACUCUACAAGAUCGGCCGAAGCCUCAGAAAUCAUUGCAGGCAAUUAGCAAUUAAGUGCAUAACACAUAAAUCAAGUCGAAUUCGUCGACACCUAAAGCAUUAUCUAGUAAUUCAGAGAGUAGCCCUCACCUGUUGAUUUUCCAGCUCGCUCCUUGAACUUUCCUUCACGAUCUUCCUCCUCAAGUCCUCCGAAUUCCUCAAACGAGCCUUAAAGAAAUUUCACAGAAAUCAAUCACAAUGAGUCAGAAACUCAGCAAACAAUAAGUCCUAGGGUCACACGGAACACUACAACUCCGUGGUACGCCAAUCUAACGCGUUAGGACAAGUUUUCGAAAAAGUCGGAUUUCCUCCCCCCCUUGGUAUAGCUCUCGGCCACUUUUCCUAAUUGGGAGGGUCGAUUUUUCUUCGAUCAAACUUGGUUCCUAGGUUAUCAUAAGUCGUAACUAAGGCGGAUCUAAGCUCGGAAAAAUUUUCGGAUCGUAAACUGACAUAGGGGUAGUUUGGUAUUUAUUUUAAACUCAGAAUUUCAAAACUGGAUUUUUGAAAAACAAAUUGGAUGGAGAUGUCAACAACGACGUUUAUGACAACUAAUCCUACUAGCACUAAGCCAAGUCGAGAGUUCUAAGCUAAAAGGUUGCGACUUUGCUUAAAAAUGGGUAUUCGAAGCAAGAAUUGAUUCCGGCGGAAUUUCGGCGACAUCUGACAAAAUCUAAUCCGCAGAACACGCUCAGGAGCAUGCAGGGAAGAUGUUUAGACAGAGAAAUCAAGCUAUUUGGACAAUUUUCCAAAAACCUCAAAACUUUGGACACAGAAAGACUUAGGAGAAGUCGACAGAAACGGCGAUCAGAAGAGGGAUAUAGUUUACCUACCUCAAGGUCUUCGAUUAGCAACGAUCGGUGUAGCAAACGGGCAAGAAUUCGCGAAGAUCAACUUCCUCCUCUUCUCCUCUCUUGGCCGCGGUUUUGGGGAAAGAAAAUGGGUGAGUUUUGCAAAAUUCUCAUUUUCUAGCUUACAACCUAUAUAUAGUGAAGGAAAUGGAAGAUAUUUUGCAAAGUUUGGAUAAGGAUGACUAGGUGGAUGGAUAAGGAUGGAUAGAUAUUUUUGAGAAGAUAUUUUGGUAAAGAUAUUUUGUAAAGAUAUUUUGUAGAGAUUAGAUAAGGAUGAGUAGAUAUUUAUCAAGGAUCGGAUAAGGUUGAAUAGAUAUUUAUCAGAAAUUGGAUAAGAACGAAUAGAUAUUUAUCAAAGAUUGGAUAAGAACGAAUAGAUAUUUAUCAAAGUUUGGAUAAGAACGAAUAGAUAUUUAUCAAAGAUUGGAUAAGAAUGAAUAGAUAUUUAUCAAAGACUGGAUAAGAACGAAUAGAUAUUUUAGGGAGAUAUUUUGAGAAGAUAUUUUGUAAACCGGUACAGAUUACUUUAGAUACCGGAGGAUUUAACUCAUAGAGUUAAAAUAAAAAUAUAAGAGUGAUUCCUAUUUUUCCGGCUUCGUUCUCCGUGAAUUCUAAGAUAGGUUUUGACGACAGAAAUCCAAAACUCAACAGAAGUUUCCUUCUAUUUUAGGUGACUAAUGCAAAAUCGGUGUAAAACCUUUUUACCCGAUAAGUUACUUUUUGCAGUGGAUGUCGGAUGAGAAAACUUCCUUCUGAAGAAAGAUUAGAAACAACGAGAGAAGUAGGCGAUCGCGGAUGGAAUCUUCAUUUGAAGCUCCGAAUAGAAAAAGUCUUCAUCGUCCGUCAAUUUUAGGGUUUUUGAACUAUCAGGGAUUCCGUUUCGGCAAACUUCCGAGAAUUGGAAUUUGACGUUCGUACGUUCCAGGGUUUCGCAUCGAAAUACUUGUUUAUAGACGAAUAAGAGAAAUUCUAACAUUUCUCUGAAGAUUUUUGGAAUUAGUUUCCAUCGCGUCCUAAAGUAUAAAUUAACUAUUCACUAAUACCUUUGACCUAGGAUUAGGCGUAGGUUAAUCGUGCAAUAACUCCUAUCGGUUUUUCGAUAAAUUCCUGGACUUUUCCUGAACCUUUUUCCAUCACAAAUUUAUCUUAAUCAAAUAAACUCUUUUAUUUUAUUCACUUAUCCAAAGCUUUAAAACUUGGGCCUUACAUUACUACCCUCCAAAAAGAAAGUUUCGACCUCGAAACUUAUGGUUCAGUAAAAAUUUCUGGAUACUGUUCCUUGAUCUGUUCCUUUAGCUCCCAUGUAGCCUCGCCUAUGUCCUUGUUCCAAAUGAUUGUCACCAAUGCUAAUUGGUGGCCCUUUUCGAAAGACAGUUCAUCUUUCAGCUCUAUGUCAUCCGGCUCAACCACUCGUGUCGGGUCUAUGUUGGAAAUAAUAUCGGUCGGCACUCUGUGCAAUCGCACAGCCUUAACCACUUGCUUGUUUACUUUCGUUCGUCCGAUAUUCUGCUUAAGCCCAGUACACCUCCGCCAUUCCAGAGUGUGGAUGUUCAACCUGUCCUCGUGAUCUUUACUCAUGAUUCGAAACUUAACUCGAUCGCUCUAUAUCUCAUAGACGAACUUAUUCCCUUGGAGUCUACCAAUCUCUUAACAUCAGUUCCAACUUUGUAACUAUCCUCAUUCGCACCAUGAAAUCAAUCUUCUACUUAUUCAUCAUUCAAAUUAAAACUCGACUUGAGUCUUAAUACCUUGUGCAUCGCUAGACCCAAUCCCUUUUAACAUUCAUUCAUCAGCAACUUAUAAGCUAAUCACCAUCUUAAUAUCUUACAAUCCAUUAUUGUCAUCUCCCCUUUUUCGAGACUUCCUUUACUUGAACCAUAAAACCAACCUUCACUUAUUCACAAACCACUUUACACUUACCUAAAAUCCUUAACACUUCCCCCAAAUCCGAACUUAUUCCCUAGAAGAUCAAAUCAUAAUUGUACCUCAGGAAACUUAACUAGUCAUUUUAUCAUCCUAUCUCUCAACAUUCUGAGGUUUAACUACAAUCGUUAAUGCUAACACCACUAAAUAUCUUAUUUGUACAUGAUUUUCACCUCCCAAGGUCAAUCUUAACCCUAAGAUCCUCAUUCAACUUAGUAAAAAUCACUUGCUAACCCCAGCAUGUAACAUCGGAAUCCAUAACCAAGUUCCAUUCACUCUUAGACUCUAAGAACCUCAGGUAUUCAUCUUCAUACUAACUCAUUAUUUCCGUAACUAGAUCGUCCUCCAAUUAAUCUGAUUCUUAGUCUCUUGAUCAAAACCUGACAAACCUUGAGUCCUACGCACUUAAGACAAGAAUUCAUAGACUUCGAACCUAAACUUUCACCAAGUUUGGACCUCCAAUGUCUUUUAAUUCUUCAAUACUUCUUAAAUGAAUAUCCAUUUCUUAAAACUAUAACUCCUUCCCAAAGGAAAUCAAUUGCUUAACAAGAACUUUACUUCCCAACUCAACUAAUCCUCGAUCCAAUCAAAUUAAUCUUACCAAUCCAUCUAUCAAAGUCCAUUGCCAGUUCUGAUAGCGAAUAUCACCCCCUCAAUAUUCAGUUGAUCAGGCCUAAUUCAUCGAAGGUGAAGAUUUAGAAAAACCCACUGGAACAGUCAAUGAGUUCCUAUCAUCCAGUAGUCACAAAGAUCUUGAUAUUAAAUCCCCAAUGAUGCCGCUACGAAACUACACACUCUCGACAUCAUACGUAUACUAUCCAUAUGGAAUCUCUCUGAGGUUCAUCCUUCAGCUUCUAGCUUCUUGUUAAACGCAUCGGUGCAAGACUACUUUCUAGGCUUAACGUGUUAUUCUAAACCUCGUGUAACUUCUAUAGUUUAAACACGAGCAACGGUCAAAUAAAGUAUUAUUAGGCGUAAUAACUAUAAAGUCAAAGCUCGACAGUAAGGGCAAGUUACGUGUGUUGCACGUUCUACGAGAGUAAUGAAGCGUAUUAUACUAGAAUGAGAAAGAAUAGUUAGAAGGUUACCAUCGUUUGUGCGCUCUCCUCUGACUAGUCGACCAGCUCCCUCGCCGCACGAGACAUAGACUCCUCCCCGUGCAGUAGGAUGUCUUCCUCUUACCGUAGGCACAGAUGGCUCAACCCAGGUUACAUUGCAAUCCUUGGCUUGAUGCCCCGGGCGAUUGCAGUUGAAACAUAGAGGUCUCCCGUCUGGACACUUGUUAGAGUGGUGCCCCACCUUCUUGCACCUGUAACACGUUACUUGCUUCCUCGCCCCUUUAGAUAUGGCAGGAAGUUUACCCUUCAUCUUGUUGUCAGACGGUCCCGCCUGAAACGUCUUACAGUUCACGGCCAAACGCCCUAUCUGGUUGCAAUUGAAACAUCGAGGCCCUUGGUCCAGACAUGCAUUAGCAUAGUGUCCAUUAUUUCCACACCUGAAACAUGUCACCUCAGGAUGUGCUGAUUGGCUUCCUGCCCUUGGAGUGGCAGUAGUCGAAGACUUAAAAGAUCUUGGGGUAAAACCCCUCUCCUUCGGAUGCUGAUACGGCCCCAACUGACGGUACUCCUGAGAACCUGACCUCACUGGUCCUCCAGUUCCAGCUCGGUCCAACCUACUUUGCUGGUAUUGGGACGCCUCGAUUAGCGGUUGAGGUUGUUCACGUCCAGCCUCCUUAGCGUGUCUGUAAGCGUCUUCAGCAGCCUGAUUCAUCAUUGCCUCAAUCAUGGUAGCUAUUGCCUUCGCCAUACGGUCAGGGUUUACCAUCCUAUGCUUAGUCAAACAAACAGUUAGUACUCAUCAUAAGAUAGUCUCUGGCACAACUAUACAAUAUGAUUAAGCAAUAACUUCAACCAAUUCUAAGCGAAAAAAAUCGCUUGGCAGACAAUCAAUUUUAACUCUUUACAGAGUCACACAACCUAGCACAGAAGACCUAUUCCCCAAAGACUCCCGAAAUACUCGACAAGCUCUGAUACCACAAUUGUAACACCCCGAUUUCGGUGGCGUCACUUUAGUAACCAAAAGAAAUACUUAAUGCGGAAAAACGUGAAUAUUUUUUUUCUCGAUAAUACAAAAUUAAAACUGAAAGAAAUAGAGCUUGACAACAGAAGAUAACAAAACUAAUAUACAAUAAUAGUUACAGCCCCCGCUGUAAGUAGUAAACCACGUCACGAGUAACCCUCCAGUGACGGACAGCAAAAUAGAGUAACGCCCGAAGGCAAAAGGCACAAUCCAAAAGAAAAGGUUAAGUGUCUGCAACACAAACCCUCAAAAUGAGAAUAAGUCAGCCCAGAUGGCCUAAAACAAGACCCCCUAGUCCAACCAACUCUCUGUGAUUUCCGUAAAGAGAACCACAAGAAAAGCUAAAGGUCGGGGACCUACCCUGCCCAAAACGAAAGACUGAACAUCAGAGCCAAGACG
rnacentral:lncRNA from 1 species